rnacentral:rRNA from 1 species
AACGAACGCUGGCGGCAUGCCUAACACAUGCAAGUCGAACGAGAUCUUCGGGUCUAGUGGCGCACGGGUGCGUAACGCGUGGGAAUCUGCCCUUUGGUUCGGAAUAACAGUUGGAAACGACUGCUAAUACCGGAUGAUGACGAAAGUCCAAAGAUUUAUCGCCAGAGGAUGAGCCCGCGUAGGAUUAGCUAGUUGGUGUGGUAAAGGCGCACCAAGGCGACGAUCCUUAGCUGGUCUGAGAGGAUGAUCAGCCACACUGGGACUGAGACACGGCCCAGACUCCUACGGGAGGCAGCAGUGGGGAAUAUGGGACAAGGGGCGAAAGCCUGAUCCAGCAAUGCCGCGUGAGUGAUGAAGGCCUUAGGGUUGCAAAGCUCUUUUACCCGGGAUGAUAAUGACAGUACCGGGAGAAUAAGCUCCGGCUAACUCCGUGCCAGCAGCCGCCGUAA